rnacentral:lncRNA from 1 species
GAUGUAUUCCAUGUGUGUGCCUUGCCUGCGGACACAUAUUGCGGAAUCAAAGCUCGCGGACUGAUCGACAGCGGCACAGUUUUCCCAGUGUAACAACGUAUGCUGACAUCACACCAAUCGAGGCACAAUUUUAUGAAUUCAGAUCUCGUUUAUAGAGAAUGACAGCUCUCGGAUUUUUAAAAAUAGUCUGUAGAUUCGUUCUACAAUAACAAGCUUUCGUUUAAUUAAUCGAAGAGUCUCUUUGAGCCAAUAUCAUCCAUUAAAAGUACAAUUGAAACGUCAUUUAGAAUGUAAUUCAAUCAUUUAUUAAAAUUGCAAUCGUAUUGUAAUUUAGAAAAUUUAAAAAAUUCAGACAAUCAAAAUUAAUAUCUAGACUCUAGAUGAAACUGGGAAGGAGAGAGCGCCGGGUUUUACAUACGUUAUAAAUAAAGCUUCUAAUUUUGGAUACGCGGGCGUAAACAUUGCUAAACAUUCGUCGCAACUUUGACAGGAAGCGAUCGGAUAGUGUCGAGGAGAAUGCUUAUCGCAGGGCUGACGGGAAGCGCCUGUGUGAUGUCAGUGUGAAGUUAGCACCGCAUCUUCCAAAAUUGCCCGUAUGAUUACAGGCGUGAUUUUUGUAUUUAUACUCACGGCGGAAGAAGAAACGGCGUCGGCGAAAAUCACGUGCCCCCCUCGGCGCUUCUAGCCAGCGGAACGAACUAACGGGCAAUCGGCAACGAAGCAACGGGAAAAGACGAGCCGCCUCGGUCUUGCGGCAUCGAGCGCUCCCCCGACUGGCCAGCCGCUAAUUUUUCCUCGAUCUAUUUCAAGGUUGUCGAUUUGUCCUUCUCGUGCGGCGACACGCCAAUUUCCAGAGAUGUCGCCAGUGCGAUUCGAAACUGAAUUUUGCAUGCCACUUUACACAGAAGAAAGGAGAGAAAAACUUAUUGUGAGUAGCUUUAAAAAAAUAUUUUAAUCUGGAGCGCGAGAAAAAGUGAUCUACUUUUGGAAAUUUAAAAAAAAAACUGCUGCACGUAUUCUACUUGUACGUAUUUGGUAUAUAUCUACAAAUUUUCAUAUAGUUAAAUGUUUAAAAAAUAAACACUUUUUUUCAAGUCGGUUACGCGAUUUCUCAAAAACUACUAAAGUUACGUAAAAUAUAUAAAAACUUUAGCCGUAUUAAAAUUUGCAGAUAUUUAUUAAAUAUGUGCAAUGUGUAAAAGCAUAGGAAAAUAUGUGCAGCACACUUUUUCUUAAAAAAUUCCCAAAAAUAGGCAAACUUUUUCACGCUCUAGAUUAUUUUUCAUGAAUACACUAGGCAAAUAAAGAUAAAGAAAAUACUCCAUUAGAAGCUCUCUUGUUAAUUAAAAGACUACAAAUUAAUUUAAUCUCCCUCUCUCUCUCUCUGUUUCUCUUGAUAAUGCGAUUUACGAUAUCGCGCAACCGAUGUGAUCACGGAAAUAGAGUUCGUCAGCGUGCAUUCGUCAUCGGGAGUAAUUCGUAAUGCGUGCGAGAUGAAUCAGCCGGUCGGUGGCGAUUAUGAUAACGGUAUAUGUAAAACGAGAAGAAAGUGAUCUAGCGCGUUGCCCGCGAUUAGGCUAAAAAUACAUUCGUCUAUGCCUAAACCUAUCGAAGUGGAACACCCGAUAUGGAAACUUACAUACCUUCCAGUUCUGUUUUAUAGCGCAUUACGCAUAAUGCAUUCGUUUGUACUCGUGUUAUAUUUGGGUUACAUCUUAUACUAUAAUUAUUCUAUGAAGUAUGUAUGUGUCUCAAAAUAUUUGUACAAGACAUAACGUGAUAAUUUUUUAAAUAUUAUUUUAAAUAGAAAUGAUUUUGUAACAUGUACAUACAUGUUACAAAUAAUUACCUAUAGAUAUUGAAGAGAGAAUUAAGAUUAUAUAGAGAGAAAAUUUGUAAAGAAAAGUUUAAAGAGACAAGAGAGAUUAAAAUUAAGAUAUUAGACUGAGUAGAUAAGAUAAAAAGAUGGAUAGAUAAAUAAGUGUAGAAAUUAUAAAUCAGGUCCCCUUCUUGGCUAUUGUAAUGCUGAAGAGAAUAAAGAUUAUUAUUAUAUUAUAAAUAAUUAUUUUGAUAGAAGUUCAAAACUGUUUUAUAAAAGCUACAACGAUGACUUUUCCAUUUUUAUAAACUCUUCUAUUAUAGAUUGCCGAGUAAUGUAAAAGAAUCGCACUGAAUUUAUAAUAAAUUUUACCGGUUCUGCAAAAACCUAUCGCUCAUUUGCAAUGCACUCCGAGUCGCAAGGCACAAAUUAAGUGAUUAAAGAGCUCAUUGUUGCACGCUGCGUGUUCGCGGCGUACAUCGCUUACGGCUCUUUAAGCAUUUAUAAAAUACAGUUCUAAAUAACGUAUUCCAAUUUACAUGAGCUUUACAAGAAGAGUAUGGACGUCCUGUGUAUAUUUCGCUUUUCUUCAAUCUAUUAAUUUUAAUAUAUAUACUCAUUUAAUAUUAUGUAUGAGUGGUAUACCACCAGGAGAUUUCAUACCCAGGUCCUCCAAGGGGGAGGGAGGAUGUCCCUCUCAACCGCGAAAGGAGGAUCUUCCCGUGGGGGUUUGGAGCUCCGGAAAUUUUUGCGGAAAGUUUUGUUCCGGAAACGUGCUUCUGAUACUUGUUCAACCAUUCGUUGUAUGUCUCCUCAGUCAUCAAGCUCAUCACAAUUUGCGCGUACAACUCUUUCGGAAUGUUGUUCCGAAUGAACUUUAGCAUCUCCCGCAUCGGACACAAACAUCGGGCCCUCCAUCACCCAAAUUUCCAUUAGCAUUCGUUUCAUUUCCCGCCCCUCGCGGAUACAACGCAUCUCAACUUUUCCUUGCUAUGUAACCAGAUAUGGUUACAUAGCGAUAAACACCCUUAGAUUUCGCGUCGCUAAAAGCGAUGCGUUCCAUAUCUCCGCCAUUAGCUCGAUCAACGUGAGAUGACGAGAUCCAUCUCGUCUCCCUGAGAACUCGUCUCGACUCCCAUAUCUUUACACCCUUAUAACUGUCGACCAAA